GACUAAAUGGUGUAGUGGUUAACACAUUUGCUUGGCGAGCAAAUGUGACCUUUUGUUU
rnacentral:tRNA from 1 species